AGGAACUGGUCUGAUUGAAGGUGUAACAAUGUACAGUCACAGAAACUCUACCUAUAAUACAGGAUCAAGUAGUAGUUAUGGUCCUAGUAGAGCCUAUAGUGGUGGUGGUGGUGCAAGCUUAUCUAGCAGUUACAAGUCUAGGCAGAAUUUAUUACAAUGUUCUCACUGUGGAUGCAAAAGUCACUCAAAAGAGCAAUGCUAUAAAAUUGUUGGCUAUCCAGCAG
rnacentral:lncRNA from 1 species